CCAUCUGCACCCACGCCGCCCAGCCAGAAAGCUGCACAGCCCUUCUCUUGCUGCACCUGAAGUGGUUCCACGGCGGGGAAAGGGUUCCCAGCAGUGCCCCCUCCUACCUUCUGGACCGAAAUCAUUAUUCAGAGUUUGGCAUCCUUUGGAAUUUCAAUAGAAUCGACAUCUUCAUCUCUAUUUUUAGCUUUUUCUUAUCAAAAGCACUGUUCUCUCCUGCUACCAUCUUUCUUGGAGACUGCACAUGAUUAAAAUACAUUUUCAUUAUAAACGGGAAUAAGACGAAAGAACUUGUUCUUGAUUGCAAUCACACAGGAUGAAAUGAUUUCCUGGUCCCUAGAAACUAGCUGGGACGACUCCCCUGGCCUAGUCAUGCUCGCCGAGCUGUCACUGUGACACUGUAAAUUAGGGCUUGCUGGUCUGCCUUUUCUAUUUGCUUUACUGCAGAGAGAUGAAAGGGCAGGGGAAGGAAAGUCAUGACUUCAGGCUCUCCAUUUAUCCAUUUUAAGCUUCACAGCAAGACCGUGAUGUAGGUUUUAUUGUCUCCAUUUUACAGAUGAGAGCACUGAGGCUCAGAGAGGGGAUCUGGCUGAUGCCACACAGACAAGCAGUAAGUGGCCGAGUGAGGGUGUGGCUGCUGCUCCUCCCCUGGACAAACACUUGCAGAGGGACUGACUGCUCUCAGGAUGAAGCCGGCACUCCGUCACUGGCUUCCGAGGCAGCACGUCCUUCUCGAAGCUUCCUGCAUCAUCCUCCCGACCUAGCCUCCGAAAUCCAGAGAUGCACGUUCCCAGGCCGCAGUUUGUGGCCUUGCGUCCUCUGCCGGCCGUUCUGGGGAUCGGCGGGUUCCAACCGCGCGAUCUUGCAGGCUAUGCUGCCCCCUGGCGGCGUCUCUAGGCGCUGCGGCUCUCUCUGGUCUGGAGCGCUGAAACCACAGGUCCAGGUUAGUCUCAGAAGGCAGAUUCUGUUUCCUUUAUUUCUAGCCGGGAGCUGGAAUCCAGGGGAGGGUCGAUGA
rnacentral:lncRNA from 1 species